UACGAAGGGGGCUAGCGUUGUUCGGAAUUACUGGGCGUAGAGGGUUUGUAGGCGGUUAUACAAGGCAGUGGGGAAAGCCUGGGGCUUAACCUCAGAAUUGCCAUUGAAACUGUAUAGCUUGAGAGUGUUAGAGGAAAGUGGAAUUCCUAGUGUAGGAGUGAAAUCCGUAGAGAUUAGGAGGAAUAUCGAUGGCGAAGGCAGCUUUCUGGGACAUUUCUGACGCUGAGAAACGAAAGCGUGGGUAGCAAACAGG
rnacentral:rRNA from 1 species